rnacentral:rRNA from 1 species
UUUUUUCAUGGAGAGUUUGAUCCUGGCUCAGGACGAACGCUGGCGGCGUGCUUAACACAUGCAAGUCGAACGGAAAGGCCCAGCUUGCUGGGUACUCGAGUGGCGAACGGGUGAGUAACACGUGGGUGAUCUGCCCUGCACUCUGGGAUAAGCCUGGGAAACUGGGUCUAAUACCGGAUAUGACCAACUGUCGCAUGGUGGUUGGUGGAAAGCUUUCGCGGUGUGGGAUGGGCCCGCGGCCUAUCAGCUUGUUGGUGGGGUAAUGGCCUACCAAGGCGACGACGGGUAGCCGACCUGAGAGGGUGAUCGGCCACACUGGGACUGAGACACGGCCCAGACUCCUACGGGAGGCAGCAGUGGGGAAUAUUGCACAAUGGGCGCAAGCCUGAUGCAGCGACGCCGCGUGAGGGAUGACGGCCUUCGGGUUGUAAACCUCUUUCACCAGGGACGAAGCGUGAGUGACGGUACCUGGAGAAGAAGCACCGGCCAACUACGUGCCAGCAGCCGCGGUAAUACGUAGGGUGCGAGCGUUGUCCGGAAUUACUGGGCGUAAAGAGCUCGUAGGCGGUUUGUCGCGUCGUCUGUGAAAUUCUGCAACUCAAUUGCAGGCGUGCAGGCGAUACGGGCAGACUUGAGUACUACAGGGGAGACUGGAAUUCCUGGUGUAGCGGUGAAAUGCGCAGAUAUCAGGAGGAACACCGGUGGCGAAGGCGGGUCUCUGGGUAGUAACUGACGCUGAGGAGCGAAAGCGUGG